UGAUGGUGGUGAUGAUGAUGAUGAUGAUGAUGAUGAUGAUGAUGAUGAUGAUGAUGAUGAUGAUGAUGAUGAUGAUGGUGGUGAUGAUGAUGGUGGUGAUGAUGAUGAUGAUGAUGAUGGUGGUGAUGGUGGUGAUGAUGAUGAUGAUGGUGAUGAUGAUGAUGAUGAUGAUGAUGAUGUUGGUGGUGAUGAUGUUGGUGGUGAUGAUGAAGAUGAUGAUGAUGAUGAUGAUGAUGAUGAUGAUGAUGAUGAUGAUGGUGGUGAUGAUGAUGAUGAUGAUGGUGAUGAUG